UCGAGAAUUUUUCACAAUGGGCGCAAGCCUGAUGGAGCGACGCCGCGUGGGGGAUGAAGGUUUUCGGAUUGUAAACUCCUUUUACAGGGGACGAACACCCGCAAGGGUUUGACAGUACUCUGUGAAUAAGCCACGGCUAACUACGUGCCAGCAGCCGCGGUAAUACGUAGGUGGCGAGCGUUACUCGGAAUUACUAGGCGUAGAGCGCGUGUAGGCGGGAGCUUAAGUCUGUCGUGAAAGCUCAGGGCUCAACCCUGAAAUGUCGACAGAAACUGGGCUUCUUGAGUGCGGUAGAGGAGAUCGGAAUUCCAGGUGUAGCGGUGAAAUGCGUAGAUAUCUGGAAGAACGCCAAAGGCGAAGGCAGAUCUCUGGGCCGUUACUGACGCUGAGACGCGAAAGCUAGGGGAGCAAACAGG
rnacentral:rRNA from 1 species